rnacentral:rRNA from 1 species
UGAUAUCCUGUGGCCACGCCUGGCCGAGGGUCGGCUUAUUAUCUAUCACGGCGCACAUUUAGUCGUGGAUUGGAUGAGUGCCUGCCGGCGUUGUUGCCCGUAUAACAAAAUCGGGUUGCUGGUCAAAGGCUCCUUCCUAAUUUGUCCGGUGCAGCCUAGUCCAGUUUACCAGGUUGAGUUGCUGCGUGGGUUGUGCUCGAGUCAUGGCUUAAUACUUUGUUGCAUGCUCGAGACCUAUCGUGGGCAUAACUUACACCUUGUCUUGGUUUUGCUGACAGGCGUGUGCUGCAGAUGUGCAUUGCACAUAAUUYAUUAGACCCUGACCUCGGAUCAGAUGUGAUUACCCGCUGAACUUAAGCAUAUCACUAAGCGGAGGAAAAGAAACUAACAAGGAUUCCCUUAGUAACUGCGAGUGAACAGGGAUUAGCCCAGCACCGAAGCCUGUGGUUAUUUGACUACUAGGCAAUGUGGUGUUUAGGUUGGUUCAUGGCAUUACUGCUCUACCCUAAGUCCAGCAAUGAGUACGGCUUAAUGUUCUGGCCCACAGAGGGUGAAAGGCCCGUGGGGGUGGAGGUCAAGUU